UUUCCGUAGGUGAACCUGCGGAAGGAUCAUCAAAGAGUAAGGGUCUUCGGGCCCGAUCUCCAACCCUUUGUUUAACUACCAUGUUGCUUUGGCGGGCCCGUCUCACGACCGCCGGAAGUUUGGCUUCGACCAAACUUCUGGCCCGUGCCCGUCAGUGGCCCCUUCAAAUUCUUGAUCAAGUAUGAUGUCUUAGUUAAAAACUUAAUAGUUAAAACUUUCAACAACGGAUCUCUUGGUUCUG
rnacentral:misc_RNA from 1 species